ensembl:lncRNA
CGACAUCACUGCAGCCAACGUGCUUGACACUGAGCUGCUUUGCUGAGGUCUGAAACAAGGGGAGCCUGAUUCCGCCUCUCCUCUGUCUCCCAUCUCACCACGACAUGCGAGACAUUGCUAACCACCACUCCCAGAGGAUCUCCUAUCCUUCUGAUCUUAGUGUAACCAAAAGGAUGGGAGCAACUUCCACACAGCAUGAAGAAGGCAUUUUUACCCACUAACCUCCCAGAUGGAAAUGACUCAGAUGGUCAUUCUGAAUGGAUAAAGAAAAUGUGGUACAGCUACACAAUGGAAUUCUAUUCAGCUAUUAAAAACAAAGACAUCGUGAAUUUUGCAGGCAAAUGGAUGGACCUUGAAAAUAUCAUCCUGAGUGAGGACCACAGGUGACCAUGGGUAACUUGAAACCACGGACUGAGAACUACAGAGGAGCAUCCAUUCCCACUGCAAGGCUGUAACCGGACGUUAACAUGCUCAGUGGAGCUGCAGACUGAUAUGUUCACCAGCAACGAGGCCGACACAGCCAGCAUCACUGAC